rnacentral:lncRNA from 1 species
CCCUUUCUCUUACAGACAUGUGAAAAAUAGCCUAAUAAGGAUCUUCGUGGUAAAAUCAGAUGGAAAACGGGGAGGCAGAGUCGCGUCUCCAGCAGCUCAUUCGACGCGGCGGCUCCUCCGAGUUGUACAAUAAUCAUCAGUGCUGGCCCGGUGCCGCUGGAUUAUUUUGUAUAUUCAUGAAGGCCCUCAUCAGCCGUCAGGAGACUGUGCAGUAAUCCUUGGAUGAAAUAAGGCCAAUCAGAGCGAUAAUGAGGAAGGUCAAUUGCCCAGAGGCUUCUCCUCCUGUUUUCCAUCUAUUUAUAUACGUGGACCAUAAUAAGCCUCUUGGAACCAGAAGUUACUGGGCCUACAUAAACACCUGCUCUGGUUUUUUGUUUGUCUUUUACCCGAAAUCAGCAAAGUUUUUUUUUUUUUAAAUGAAUCUGCAAAACCAUGUCAAAGCUAUCAACUCAUGCAUGGAGUCGGAAAACAAAGGAGGAUUCUAAUAAUGUUUAUUUUCCUCUUUAUCAGAGACCCCCCCCCCAUACAAAAUCCCAAACCAAAAGAGGAGCCUAUAAAGGAAUGUCUAAACUGCUCACAGAGCUUUCUUUUCACAAAACGAGCGAGAAACCAUCAACAGGGCAGGGAAGGCAAACACGUCUGCCCCACACUGCUUGUGCUUUCUUGGGUCACAGAGACACAUCCGAGCAGGUCAUGGGCUGCUUCCACCGACAGAUGUCCUGAUGUGAAGGAGAGUACCACUGAAGAAAAUGCCUGAACUGCUAUUAUCUGCAUCCUUCAAGCGCUUGACAGGAUUACGACGUGCCGUUAACAUUAGCCUCAGCACAGUGUCUGGAUGAUCAGCCAUGCCUCUUGUAAAUGUCCCACAUAAACCCUGCAGGCCAUGGGCGGUCACCAUGUGAGAGACAGCAUGGCUCCAUCAGUUGGUUACUGCGGGAUUUCUGCAAAGUAUGGUUCAGAGGAUGUCAGGUCUGUUAGGACCCCUGGGCUGGGAGGGGAAAGGUAGAGGAGGGGUCAGUGACCAGCACAGGACAGAAAAGCAUCUUAAGCAAAUAUUGGAUUGUGAGCAUCGAAGAGAAACAACUCAAGAGGGCCUUCCAGCUGGCUCUAGCUGGCACCCGUUCAAUUCUUCCGGCCAUGAUGUGCCCACAAGAACGCCCCAGGAGAGAUGCUUCUGUAAGGGAGCAGCCACCAGCCACCUAAAUGAGGUCAACGGAAAGAAUGGAAAUAGUUGGAGCCUGGGGAUGACAUCAAACACUGGGUGGGUGAGGGGGAGAAAGGAGGUAUGUGGAGAGAGAGGCAGCCCAAGGGAGGCAGAGACAUGGAUGGGAGGAGUGACAGAAGGGCAGGACUUCAGGCUCUGCACCUCUUUCCGGGUGUUGUUGCCAGCCCUACUCCAACCCUGAGCCAUAAUCAACUUCCUUAAUGAAAUACGUAAUUAACAUAUUAUAAUUGUAGUAAAGAUGAUUUUGACAGAAAUCAUUUUCCAUAUCUAAUACUAUGCUAAUUUAAUCUGUUCCUUACUCCCCGACAUGACCUUUAAUGAUUAAGUUUCAUGGUGGAAUUUGUGUGUGUGUGUGUGUGUGUGUGUGUGUGUGUGUGUGUGUGUUUUGAUGGAUUGAUUUUUCCAGUGUAGUGUUUGAGACCCCUUUGUUGGCAUGCCUGUCAUUUUUCUCUCUCCUUAGAAAUCUCUCAGAGACAUGCAUGACCACACUCACUCAAAAGAAAAAUUUCAUGAAAAGAAGAUGUUAAUCUACUCUUCCCUGACGUGACCCAAGAAGCUGGCCAGUCAUAGACAUACUAAGUAAGGCAAUGGCCAGCAGGCCUUGUCAAGACAGCCUAUUUCUUCUAACUACCUGAGCUCUGACUUGAGUCAUGUCUGUGUUUGUGGCAUAUGUCAUUGCUAUAAUUAAAAUACAGCAAACCCA